AGUUUGAUUUUGGCUCAGAUUGAACGCUGGCGGGAUGCUUUACACAUGCAAGUCGUGAACGGCAGCACGGACUUCGGUCUGGUGGCGAGUGGCGAACGGGUGAGUAAUGUAUCGGAACGUGCCUAGUAGCGGGGAUAACUACGCGAAAGCUGUAGCUUGGGUUACCGCAUACGCGCCCUUCGGGGGAAAGCGGGGGACCUUCGGGCCUCGCACUAUUAGAGCGGCCGAUAUCGGAUUAGCUAGUUGGUGGGUAACGGCUCACCAAGGCGACGAUCCGUAGCUGGUUUGAGAGGACGACCAGCCACACUGGGACUGAGACACGGCCCAGACUCCUACGGGAGGCAGCAGGGGGAAUUCCCCGGACAAUGGGGGAAACCCUGAUCCAGCCAUCCCGCGUGCGGCGAAGGCCUUCGGGUUGUAAAGCACUUUGGUGGGAAAAGGAAACGGCACGGAUAAUACCCCGUGCAACUGACGGUACCUGCAGAAUAAGCACCGGCUAACUACGUGCCAGCAGCCGCGGUAAUACGAGGCGCAAGCGUUAAUCGGAAUUACUGGGCGUAAAGCGUGCGGCAGGCGGUUCGGAAAGAAAGAUGUGAAAUCCCAGAGCUUAACUUUGGAACUACUUAACUACCGAGCUAGAGUGUCAGAGGGAGGUGGAAUUCCGCGUGGCAGUGAAAUGCGUAGAUAUGCGGAGGAACAGCCUGGAUGGCGAAGGCAGCCUCUCGAUAACACUGACGCUCAUGCACGAAAGCGUGGUAUAAACAGGAUUAGAUACUCCUGGUAGUCCACGCCCUAAACGAUGUCAACUAGCUGUUGGGGCCUUCGGGCCUGGUAGCGCAGCCAAUCGCGUGAAGUUGACCGCCUUGGGAGCCGGUCGCAAGAUUAAAAACUCAAAGGAAUUGACGGGACCCGCACAAGCGGUGGAUGAUGUGGAUUAAUUCGAUGCAACGCGAAAACCUUACCUACCCUUGACAUGUCUGAAUCCCGAAGAGAUGCCUUGGGAGUGCUCGCAAGAGAACCGGAACACAGGUGCUUGCACGGCUGUCGUCAGCUCGUGUCAGCAGAUGUUGGGUUAAGUCCCGCAACGAGCGCAACCUCGGUCAUUAGUUGCUACGAAAGGGCGACCGACGAGACUGCCGGUGACAAACCGGAGGAAGGUGGGGAUGACGUCAAGUCCCUGCGGCCUUUAUGGGUAGGGCUUCACACGUCAUACAAUGGUCGGGACAGAGGGUCGCCAACCCGCGAGGGGGAGCCAAUCCCAGAAACCCGAUCAGUCCGGAUCGCAGUCUGCAACUCGACUGCGUGAAGUCGGAAUCGCUGGUAAUCGCGGAUCAGCAUGUCGCGGUGAAUACGUUCCCGGGUCUUACACACACCGCCUCGUCACAUGGGAGUGGGUUUUACCAGGAAGUUAGGCCUAACCGUAAGGAGGGCGAUUACCACGGUAGGAUUCAUGACUGGGUGAAGUCGUAACAAGGUAA
rnacentral:rRNA from 1 species